rnacentral:lncRNA from 1 species
UUCUUUCUGUGGGAAUGAAAGCAACCCCCCUUGCACAAUGUCUACAGUCUGCACAAAUAAUUAAGUUCCAUCGUUGAAAGGCGAGGGAAUGUUAAAGGGAGAGGGCAUAGAAUGUUUCUUAGCAGCAGUCAUGGUUCAUGAACUGGUAAAAAAAAUAGUGUUCUUGCGCAUCAAACAAAGAAGAAGAAAUCAUGAUUUGAUUGGUAAAUUAUAGAUGUAAUAUGUUCAAGAAGAGCAUGAUACGUUUAAACAAAUGACAUGAAACAUUCUGUUUGUAUAGUGAAAGUAAUUGUGGCUCAUAUUUCAGUUCAAUGUUGUUUUUCUAUUAGUAUCGCUUGCUGAAAGAGGAAAAGUGAUCAGACCUUGUAGAAGCUAUAUAUAUUAUUUAAUUCUCCUGAUAGGAUGGUAUGGGCACUCCUGACUCUUCUGUAAGCUUUUUGUAAGCAUUUUGCAACCUUCGAGUCACAGGUCCCACUUGUCCAUCGCCAACUUCAC